rnacentral:rRNA from 1 species
UACGUAGGAUGCAAGCGUUGUCCGGAAUUAUUGGGCGUAAAGAGCGCGCAGGCGGUAUGACAAGUCAGAUGUGAAAGAGGCCGGCUUAACCGGCAAGGGUCAUUUGAAACUGUCAGACUAGAGUGCAGCAGAGGAUAGUGGAAUUCCCGGUGUAGUGGUGAAAUGCGUAGAUAUCGGGAGGAACACCAGUAGCGAAGGCGACUAUCUGGGCUGCAACUGACGCUGAGGCGCGAAGGCUAGGGUAGCAAACAGG